rnacentral:ribozyme from 1 species
UGUCCAGCAACUCCUAUCCCUACCUCCUCGUGGUACUGGCAACCGUAGUAAAGAUCGGGUAACCAACCCCGGUGGAAACAUAAGUCGUAUACUGACAGGGAAGA